GUGUCAGCCGCCGCGGUAACACGUAGGGGACGAGCGUUGUCCGGAAUUAUUGGGCGUAAAGCGCGCGUAGGCGGCUCGGAAAGUCGGUCGUGAAAGGCUGGGGCUCAACCCCAGGACUGCGUCCGAUACUUCCGAGCUGGAGGCAGGUAGGGGAGAUCGGAAUUCCUGGUGUAGCGGUGAAAUGCGCAGAUAUCAGGAGGAACACCGGUGGCGAAGGCGGAUCUCUGGGCCUUGCCUGACGCUGAGGCGCGAAAGCUAGGGGAGCGAACAGGAUUAGAAACCCUCGUAGUCC
rnacentral:rRNA from 1 species